rnacentral:lncRNA from 1 species
UAAACUCAACUAUUAAAUGCGCCGAGUGUGCAUCAUUAGGUUCUAUAACAUAGUACCUAUAUACCUUUGAAUUCUUAGCAUAUCAAACAAAGAUGCAAUCAAUGCCCCUUUCUCUUUGAAUUCUAGCAUAUCCAAUAAAGAUGCAAUCAAUACCUUUUCUCAUAAUGUCUUUCGUUUAGGAUUUUGGAGGCGACAAUGAUAGCUCGGGGUUUCUUUGAUUAAGGUAAACCCACUCUUAACCUUCAGUUCAUCUCGUCUUCCUCCCUUUAUCCUAGAUUCGGUUGGAUUUGAUUUUGUAACAAGAGCGAUGAUUCUCUCUUAGCAGUCGAAAAUCCGAGGGCGAUGAAGGCCAGAAUCCGUCGCUGGCCAUGGAUUUUCCUCCGAUCUACUCUCUCAGCAUUUGACUGAAGAAUACGGAUGGUGAGUCGCUCAACUCUCCCUAAUCUUAAUCAUCUCUCGCUCGAAUGCUUAGAGGUUGGAUGAUGAUAUUAGUAAUGAUGCUUACUAGCCUCUGUACAGCAGCCUCCACUGCCCUUAUGUGGGUCUCCCGAUUCACAGUCGUCACCCUCUUUCUCCUGGAACCCUCAUCUGCGAAUUUCAUAGUCGCCGUUCCAUCCCAAAUUCAAUACUAAAUCGAAGAUCCCAGCUCUUGAUUGCCUUCGCCUCUCGACUCCAUCACAGUUGCAUCGGGACGCGAUCAUGCAUAGAUCGAUUCCCUCAUUUUAAGGUAAGCUCGGUUUCCCCCUCUGCUUGCAAUGAUUCUAAUUUGAACUAUGAUCUUUCUAACGAUCCUCGCCUCUUCUUUCCCAGUUCAGUUCGAUGUGGAAAUUCCGCCGGUAUCUUGGAGGGUCAAAGGCUUUACCAGCGACGCCAUGUCAGGUCUGAACUUGUACUCUCGUCAGUUUUUUUUAUUUAGAUUAAUCUUCUCUUUGAAGGAUUUUACGGUUAUUUCCCCAGGUGUGUAAAGAACACAGCGGGUUUGCUGUUCUAGUUGAUCAAGCGAUGUGUGCGGUUCUCAGUGAUCCUGAAAAAGAACAAGGUAAUGUAUUCUACGCUCUUCCUCUCCUCUCGAUUCCUAUCCCGAUGUAUCUAUGUAUCUCUGUUAUGAAUCCCUUCCUACCUUCUAAUUUUUCAAUAGGCUAUUCGAAGUGAAGAAGGCUGGUUAUGGACCAGAGGGAGCACGAGGAAUGGAGGACAACAAAACUUGAUGUCUGAGGGCUCCAUGAAAGUGAGGAAGGGGGGUCGAGAUUUAACUAGGGGGCGAAACUAGAAGGGCGGCCAGACAAGGUCAACAACACAGAGGUAAUACUCAAAAUUAUAAGCUCGGAUAGACAUGUGAUCGAGUAUUGCUUGUCCUUCUCAGCAACAAAGACUCGUGUGUAUUUUAUCGAGAUAAAAUUGGUCUACUUAGUCUUGAUUGGAAUGUCGAUUUGGCUGUUCAGGACAGGAGCAACUAAAGUGUGUUUGCAUCCAUGUUUUUUUCAUGGAAUAAAUAUACUAUCCUAUCUCAUUAAAGAAUCUAUGAUUACCAUGAUUCAUGUAUGCAGGCUAGGACUCGUAAAACCAAUGUUAUUCAAUUGGGCAUUCAUGAGUUGGCAUUAACCCAUCAUAUGUAUUUGCCAAACAAUCUGAAUUGCAUGUUUUGAUAUGACCAUCGUGGUGAAGAGCGAAGCUGGACCAAGAGAAGAUGAAGGACCAGGAUCGAGAACCUAGAAUCAUCAUGAAAGACCAACACAAAAAGAAGAAACAUAGAAAAUAGUACACAAUAAUAGUCAAAGGGAGUCCACAAUUUCCAAACAAGCAUCCAAAAUAACAAACAUCCACAAACUGUCAUAAAACACAACACAACACAAGUCUAGUCACACAAAAGAAACACAAACAAACCAUCAAGUCUAAAAAAAAGAGAGAGAGACAAAGGAACAUCACUCGAACAAUGGUGGAGGUGGUGGUGGCUGCUAGGAUGGGAAAUGGGGAUAAUACCCAUAGUAGCUUACCUCCGCGCUCAGAUGGUGGUAAUACCAUUGAUGUCCAUCUCUCGAAUCUUGGAAGUGGUCUUGUGGUGGGGGAGAGUAGUCGGGAUAGUGUUGAGGAAGUAAGAGUACACGUUCUGAUAUUUGGCCAUGUGGCCAGUCUGCCAACCCUACUUCUGUUGGAUCCAGUGCAUCUCCAUCUAUACUAUCUGAAUCUACUCCCCAACCCUCUAGAAAUUGCUACUCGUCUCACCUCUAAAGGCAUCAAAGUCGCUUCAUAACCCACUCAUAUCCUGUCUGAUGUACCCCAACUGCUCAUCAUGUGACUUCCUGAACUACUUAUCUCUCUGUGCCUCAUACUGAGCUCUCUCAUCAGAACACUAUUGAUGGAUAGCAAGAUGCUCCAUGACAGCCUGCAGAUCGGACAAAUACCCGAGCUGAAGUUGCGGUGUCGAUCUCCUUAACAAGCAAGUCCUGAACUCCAUUCCUUAGUAAUUAAUCCGGGUAGAAGUCAUAAGGUGGAGUCUCGAAGAUGCCCAACACUCCAUAAUUACGGACUGACAAGCUAACAUACCCUCCUUUGUAUAGUACGACAUGCAUUGAGUAGCUCUUCAAUUGCUUGAAGAGAGUGAGAACCAAGUCUCCCAAAUGCAUAUCGAUCUUAUCCUAGCAAUAGAAGAUGUACAUGUCUCGGUUAGUGAGCGCACUUGGAGAGCUUGAAGACGAACGGUGCGAGAUACCGUGGCGAGCAAACAGAUGGAUGAGACGAAGCAUUGGCUUGUGGGUUCGCAGCGCCUUAAAGACCCCAACUACAAACUGAGGCGCGUCUUUGAUAAUGCUACACCAAAAACCCUGCACAUCAUAGAGGGGGAGUCCGGAAACCAUGGCAAGACAAGCCAGCUUACCAUUGUUCAGCUCCUCAUUUGAAUGGAACCUGAGCAUUACCCCAAACUCAUGUGGGAACACUGUGUACAGCCUCCCUCCCAAGCGGAAGGAGACCACCCUCUGAGAGGUGGAAGUGUAUCUCCCGAUGUCAAGUGUGUAGAAGAACUCACGAACCGCGCGAGGAUAUGAAUACUCCUUCACCAUCAUCGCCCUCCAAAUAUUCUUGGUCCUCUUGUAAUAGGAAUGAAAGGGGAACAAGCCUGCUAGUUAACUCCUCAAAAACUAAGUGCCCCUGUUUGGAAACAGAAAGGUGUUGGAGAGUCGCAUAGAGCUUCCAAGACAUAAAGCAUCAAUCGCGAGGUUUUACGGAUCGACGGGCUCAGUAGGAGCUUCAAACAUGUGGUACUGCUGAGGUGGAACUGCAGGUGAGGAAGUACCUUGAGUCGUUUGCCCUGAGGAAGAAGAAUUCUCAUUUCCACUAUGCCUCUUGUUACACUUGGUAGACUUACCUUUAGGAGACAUCCUGAAAAAUAGUCAGCAAAUGUAGACUGCAAAUUGGGAAACAGGAUUCGGGAUUUCCCGUUUCCGUUCCCGUAUUAUUGAAAAAAAACUCGGGAAUUCCCAUUCCCAUUACCAAACUCAAAAUUCGGGUUUGGUUGGGGAAUAAAAUUUCAUGUUCGGUUUUUUGGUUCGAUUCUGGGAUUCCCAAAAUCCCAAAGUUUCUUAUUAUUUUCUAUUAUCGACAAAAGAAAAAACAUCGUAUAAGAAAUGAUUGAUUCAUACGUUAGGGCAUAGCUCAUUUUCGCUUCAAGACUGAAAUUACGGUUCGUGAAACCGAGAGGCCGAGAGUCCCCAUGUCCCUCAAUGGUGAUUCCCGAUGAUUCCCUCGACGGUUCAACCCCUCCUCUCUAGGGUGGCGAUUCCCAGUCUAGACGUCGGAUUCUUCUUCUUUUGCUACGAUGAUUCCCAACGAUUCCCUCAUUGUUCUGGAAUCUGAUUUAAGGUGAGAACACAUCUCCAACCCACUAUGGGUUUUAUUGUGAGGUUUUGAUUGUUUCUUAUUUCUUUGCGUAACAGUGGUCAUCGUCGAUUUGUACAGGUGCGGCUGUUGAUUCUGCGAACACACCUCUACUACUUUCGUCGGUGAACAACAUUCAAUUGAGGUGUGAAUAAUGAUUGAUUUAUGCUCCACUUUGGUUUUUGAUUAACUCUACAAUAGCUUUCUAUCUGCUAUCUCAAUUGUAAAAUCCUGCCAAAAGACAUUACAUUACAAGGAUGGCUUGUAAAAUCUAAGAAUAUAUGCUAAUGGCUUCAGUUAAAAUCAGGGUGAGUAUUGAGCUUGCUUCACUACUGUCUAUUGAAUACUCAGAACUGAAUUUUGGUCUUUCUUCAUCCCACUUAACUAUCUCCCUCGCAUAUUUAAGAGAUGAGUUGAUAGUGUCAGAUGCUAUAGAUUAUAUUGAUCCUGGGCCUAGUCGAAUAUGAUAAAGAUGAAGAGGGUGAAAAUGAAUAUGUUGAUUCUGUAAGUAUUCUUAAAUUUAUUUAUAGUUAGUAGAAUGGAAUAGUGCUCGAUAUUGUGACUGUGACUGAAUUCUGGCUGUUUGUUUUUCAAUUCUAUUUCUUGGUAUUGCAAUGGUUUUGCAUCACUCAUUUAAGAUAUAUGAGACUGUUGCAGUUUAUAGUUUCAAAACACAU